rnacentral:lncRNA from 1 species
UUUUAGACCUUGCUAGAUGUAUCAUUCAGUUGAUACUGUCUGGGGUCUGUUUUCACUGUUUUAGACCUUAUUAGUUGUACCUUUCAUUUGGUACCGUCUGGGGUCUGUGUCUGUUUUGUUAGACUGAGCCAGGCGUGUCGUUCAUUCGAUACUCUCCUGGAGUCUAUGAUUCUUUUUCCUUAGUCAGCAGUCGUCACUGUUGAGGCAUAUGUUAUUUUCCCUGAUAUUCUCCGACUUUCUUAAAAAGCAAAUCCCAUAUUUUGAUAAUGAAAGUGUUUAAGGGAAAACUACUUUUUACCACAUAACUCUGACCAGUCUUGGUAGAAGACUGAUUUUUAAUUAGAAAAUAUAGGAUUUUCUGGACAGGACUCUAUUUCAAUGUAUACUUGAAAACUACCACUUACAUAAAGUUAUUUGAAUAAAAUGUCACUAAAUGCUUAUGAACUCACCAGCAUUUGUAAAAAUGCUGAUACUCGCUUUUCAAAUAACUUGUAUUCUCAGGUCAACUUUAGACAGGUACAAUCCAGGAGCUUCUGUUGAAGACAGUUUAGUACCAAGCUGCAUCUAUAUACUUACUUGUAUUACUUUGAUGUAUUGUAAUGUAAGCCAUGAAAACUAUUACUAUUAAUGCAAUGUUUUGUUGUACUUUGAUUACUAUAAUGCAUGUGUUGUGAUACUUGACAUGACGUCAUCCACCCCAGAACGUUUCCGCCGUUCCGGUUUUGGGGUGUGACAGAUUGGUAUCAGAGCAUUGUUUAUAGUGAGCUAAGUAUAUCAAUUCAUAAAAGAUAUACAGCCUAUAAAUAAAUAGGGAUAAAACACUCUGACCAAGAAUUAUACUUUAAAAUAUAACCAUAUUUUACCAAAGUAUAAGAACAUCCAGAAUCUAAACACUCGAACAAAAGUAUCACAAGAAGAACAAGAAUAAAAGUCUUCGGAUGUUGAGCAUUACCGUCAAACCUGGGCAGUUAUGUAAUCGUAAGCUGGAAUAAAUGUAACCUGAUCAACUACAUUUAUUCGAGAUGCGAUGAACGUGUGCUUGGGAGUGAUAGUGGUGUUGCAACAGGUCUGAAACUUACCAAUUAGGAUUGAUAGAGCCAAACAUAAAGUUUAAAAUACUAUAAGAGUAUUUUGGAAUACUAAAAGACUAACAAUAAUACCAGAAUCAUAAUCAGAAGAUAAGAAUCAAACAAGAAUUAAAAUACCAUAGGGGUAUUUUAGGAUCCAUAACUAACCUUGUGUGAAGAACUAAAAAGAUCCUUAUUGAUAUACCUACAAUUACAGAGAGUAUACUCCCAAGGUUAUAUAUAAUAAGGAUCCCAUAGGCUAAGAAUGUGUGGUUUCGCCCUAUUUCCUUUUCCUCGUUGGGAUGUGGUUCUAGAGUAGUAUCACAUAUUCGAAGGCCUAUCGGAUCUAAGCUAUAUAUGAUUUGUAUACCCUGUGUAAUCAUAGCAGGACUCGAUAUGGAUCAUCCAGUGAAAUGUUAAUAAUCUCUUAGGAUUCUUUAGACAUUUCCAUUCUCGCACGAACCCUGUAGAAAACCCUAUCCACUUCAGUGCUUGACAGAAGAGUUGAUUCCGGCCCCGAAGAAGUUCAUUGAGAAGAUUUCCAGUUCAGAAAUAAAUGAACUGGGUUGAGACUAUUGAAUUCACCAAGUGCCUAUAUCUUUUAGGGAUAGUGGUGAGAGAUUUGCCUAAACUUCCGAGAUUCCAGUCAUCCAUCAUGAAGUGAUGACACCCAGAGUCGGAAUCAGGAGGAAGGUGGAGUAGAAAUUAAAUAUGUCCAUAUGAGGAGAGAACCCUAGGUAACUACCUGAAGGAAGCCAAUGUCGAUUCCAGUCAAAGAUAGGAGGCAGAUAGAGGGAGCCAGUACAUGGAACCCAAGAAGAGUCUUACCCUCGUGUUCGUCACGCUAAUACACCCUUAAAAUAAUACAAUUUAGUGAGUUAGUGGUUACACUACUCACGCUAUGUGUUAGAUAAAUUGUCGUUUCCUGUUGCCAGUUACACGAUUAGAGCAGAUCCCCACACCUCUGUUGAGGUUGUUUACCCAUAAGCCUCCAUGAGCCUUUCCUUCUGCGAUCUUCGUUCCGAACUGUUCUCAAAUCUUUCCAGGUCGGAGAGUGAAACCUUUUCCCAGUAUAAAGGUAACUUAGUAGGAACGACUCGCAUCUUAUGCCUUUUUUCGAUACUCAUACCCCUACCUUGCACACCAGGACUACAUCAUAGGGAUGUAGGUCGACACUCAGACAACCAACAUCCGAGGCACGAGAAAGUUUAUGCCUAAUACCGUCAGGACUGAUAUGUCCAGGGUUAGCCAUCGUCUCUCAUUAUCUUGCAUUCCUUUCCAUGUAGGAAAACCAUGCCACCGAAGAAGCGCAACCAGUCUGCAAGCAAGAAACCUGCUCUCCCAUUCGACGAANCGGUAGCCGUAGCAGCUGUCAUGGCUCACCGGAAUGCUAACAAUGCCAAUGUUAGCAAGGGCCCUAUCGGGAUUUCCAAUCCUAGCUAUGGACAGCAGCAACCGACCCCUGCAUACCCAGCCACCCAAGAACCUCAACCGAAUCCACUGAAGAGAAAGAUCAAGAUCAAGGAGGGAAGUACCUCGGCUCAAGGACCUUCCGAAGGGCAACGAGCUGAGAUGGUCAAAUUCCCUUCCAACCCUUCCAUCCCUACGUCCAGGAGACCAUACCUAGGAAACCUUCCCCACUGCAGCAAGUGCAGUUACCAUCAUCAUGGUAUAUGCCGGGAACUCCACUGUACUAGAUGCAACAGGAAGGGGCACACCUGCCGUACCUACAGAGCCCCGGUUGAGUUUAUUACAUCAACCACUAAUGCGGUGACCGAUAUAGUUUGUCACCUAUGUGAUGAAAAUGGACACCUCAAAAGGAACUGCCCAACCGAAGGAAGAGACAAGGACACAGGAGGAGUCUGACCCUACUGCUUGGGGAGAAGCAUCAAGAAACUCGGUAGAUUUUUGGUACCUCUCUCGAUCCCAGAUAACUAACGCAAAACAUUAAAAGGCUAAUUCAAUGUAAAUACUUCCUCAUUAAGGCGAAAGUCGCAGCACUGUUAUAAAAUUUAAAAUUCAUCAAGUAAAACUAUAAUGGCAAAACAUAUACGUUACGGCCAUGUAUAGUUAAGAUGGAUAGACCUAGAGUGAGUGAAUGUCGCCUCAUUUCCUCUUCCUCAUUUGGUUGUGGAUUUAGGGCGGAGUCGCUCAGUCAACAGUCCUCCCCACCUUAAUUAUACAUGACUAGUAUAUGUUAGGCGAUUAUAGAAAUGCCUCGUGAAAAUCCAUUCAUGAAAAAGGUACUCUAUUCAGAACACUUAGGACUCUCUAUAGUUCCGCGUCGAUUCGAUCGGUCCAAGUAUCUGCGGCAGUGAUACGCAGGACGAAACCCAAGACGCCUAGAACUUGUGUGCCUGUUCGGCGCAUGACUCUAUCGAUAUUCAUUUUAUAUCAUGUCAAAGUUUGCCAACUUCGACGACCCUAUCGAUCAUGGUUUGACUUCGUUCAGCCAUGUGUAAACCCUUAGUGCUGUGUAAAAAGAACUUUCUCCAUAGCCCUUUCGGCAAAUAAAGGUUCUUCCGAACCUAAACAAAAUAAAAGUAAUAAAGACUAAUGUGAUCCGUCAGUCGUCACUUCUAUUUCAACCCUUCCGAAGUACCCAGGAGAGGGGUACCGCGUGCUGUUAACCAACCCUCCUUAGACAGAUAAAAACCAAAGUGAAAGACACUGCAUGCAUUCCGGAAGACGAUAACCACCCGAAGCAUACCUAGUAGGUUCCCUAGAAAGACCCUUCAUCCUAUCCCAUGGAAAGGGAGCUAGAGUCAAGAGAGCCUCUACAGAUUCAACUACUAUAAUGACCACAAAUCCGAAGUUGUUGUCAUUCCGGUUAAGCCCACAUAGUGGCUAACACUCUCGGUUGAUAAAGAAACCUUAGUCGUAAGAGUCAAGACCAUUGACUAUGACCACCCAUUCACGCUCAAUCCCCCGAAUUAAGCAUCGCAGCAGAUAUCCCGAAAAUCCGAAAGCUGCGAUGGGUUGAACUCUGAGAAGAAUGGAUGAGGAGAUUAAAAGUUCCGAGUGAUGGGAACCUAUACUCACUAGAUUUGACCUAGACCGAGAAAACUCAGAACCUUCGGAUGAGUAGUGCAGUAGAUGCUCGCACUACUCAGGCACUUCAUCCACCUUGUUUCAGACAAGUAGUGCCUAUAACCCUCCACCCUCUCGCAUGGAGGAAAUCGUCGUCGCCCUAUAGAUGAUAGACAACAUUCUCUUAAGUGAACACUAGAAUACCGAGAACCACAGGAUAACCUUCGCAGCCAAGAAUACUUGAUCAAAGUGCAAAAGUAGUUGCGUUAAGCCUCAUGACCAGAUCCCGAAGAGAUUAUAGACUUGACACCAGCCUUGGUGUUAGUCGAGGGAUUAUGAAGGAGCAUGCGCUUUCCGCACUAGAAUAAACCAAAGUCUUAGAGGUUUAUUGGAAUAUUAGGUGUUCCACGAAUACUAUCUCAUGCAGAAAUAGUAGAACCACCUCCCGAGAUAGUCCAACACUCGUCUAGGGAAACCCUAUCUCCCUGAACCUGAGGGUUUCCGUUAGGGAUAUCUCAAGAUUCAUUCGUGCAGGUUCAUUUUGCACAAGAUUGAGAUAGCCACUCUACCACAAAAAGAUACCGUAGACACCUAACCCAUCCGAUGAUCUAGAAAGUAUCUAAAAGCCAAUUCACAGGAAACGCGAAAACCAAGGACAACCCGAGCUUCUUAAGAACCAACCUGAAGGACUACGCUACUAGUAUGAGAGAGAACGUUAGGAACUUUGGAAUGGCGAUCACGCCAGUGAUGAUCUUGCCAUAGAAGUACAUUAUGUUCUAGGUAAUGAAAAGCUCUACCCUUCCGAGAGCUUAGAACCACCCUUCGAAUCCCACUCAUCUUGAUUGAAACCAUUGAGAACCCUAACCUCGUAGAUACACCAGUCGGAACCCACUAACUACACGAGACGGAAAUCCGCAUCCAGUAGCUGAAGGUUUGUUGGAACGACAAACACAGGCUAGAGUUCACUUGGGAGUGCGAGGACAAACUGAAUAGGAAGUACGCUCCUGCCUCUAACAUUCAUACCUACUUCCUUGCCUAGACCUGAAUUUCGGGACAAAAUUCCCUCUAACGGGGGGAUGAUGUGACAACCCAAAGUUAUUCCGUUACAUUACCCCGUUACCGUUAACGGAAUAUUCCAUUUUAUAAAAGUUCCGUUAAUUAGACGUCGCAAAAUAAAUAAACGUUUUAUUUAUUUAUAUUUUUGUGUCGUUAUAGUCGUAAUAUAGUAAAUAAAAACACUUAAGUUGCAUUUCCAUUUAAUUGGAAAAAGUUACUUUUUAUUAUUACGACCACUAAAUCGGGUGCGACCAAAAGCCCCCGUAUAAUGGCAGUAUCGGGUAGAUUCCCACUGAGCUCCAACUCCAACCCAUAUAUAAGGGGGAAUGGACUUCAUUCCACCCCUUUACGCUCUCUCUAAACUCUCUCUCAUACAAGCCCGUUUUCGCCUCAAAUCCGCAACCAAACGCCUCCCAAUCGUAAGUCCCCUUUCCCUAGCUUGUUCUAAACAUGCAUUAUUGUCUUUAUAGCUCAAAAAUCACAUGAUUGGGACAAGAAAAAGGAGUUUACAGCCUAAGAGCCUCCUUAGACCGUAAACACCUCAAAAGUGGCCAAAAGUCCCGAUUCUUCCUUAUUCGAGCUUGGAUACUAGUUAGGGAAUUUAUCUAGGAGUGUUUAGACAUCAAAACACAAGGUUUUAGGGCAUAAAAGAGAUUUUAUGGCCCAACCACAUGCUUAGGCCGUAAACACCUCUAAUCCUUGAAAAAAUGACCCAAAAACACUCUCAAACCACCCUUAGGCUUAAGAAAUAAAUUAAGGACAUGCUAUUUCGGGUUUAGAACAAUUAAACACUAAGAAUUAAGGGGUAAAUUGGAGUUUACGGCCCAAGCAAGUGCUUAGGCCGUAAACACCCCCAAACCUCACCAAAUGAGAGUUUAAGCCCCCAAAUUGGCCUUAUACCUUCACUAGAAAAUGCUAGGGAUGAAUCAAGGGCUUAAAAUCAAAGUUUGAAGGGGGUGCAUGAGAGUUCACGGACAAGCCAAGAGCUUACGGCCGUAAACUCCCAAGGAGUAGUCAUUUGGACCAUAAACUCCAAGGGAGUGCACUCUUGGAACCCCAAACACCCCUAUAGCCUUGAAUAAUUACUAGGAUUGAAAUAAGGGCCAUAAACUUCCAUAAAAUCAAGAGGGUAGGAGUUCACGACCGUGAACUCCUAUAGGGGUGGUUCAUGGGCCGUAAACUCCCAUAUGGUCUCUUUAGAAGCCCUAAACCCACUCAUACAAUUUAGUUUUGGACUUAGCAAAAUUCCACGAUGAAGAUAAAGCCUUUAAACAUCCUAGAAACCCCUCACCAUGAGUUUACGGCCGUAAACUCAUGGGGAGUUGUCCCAGGGCCGUAAACACCCUAUGGAGAGUCCAUUCCUAAGCCAUUCAAGCCCUUAGAUGUUACCCGGGACACCCCAAACACUUAACCAAAGUGUUUUCCGCUCCUUAGAGAGAUUAUACUUGUUUAAUUACUAUUAAAUAUACUAAUUGUAUGUGAACAUAUGUUAUCAUAUGUUAAAUAGGUCUCUAAGUGUGUUCAAGUCCUUACUUGACACCGAGCACCCAACCGGCGCCUUCGUCGGAUCCACUUACACCAGGUGAGUUCAUACCCCUGAAUGAACCUUUUAAAUGUUUUUACAUGUUUUAUAGGGGGGAAUACAAGUUAAACAUGCCAGUUAUCAUAUCAAUCACAUGUGAUUGAUAACCCGCAUGCACAAGGAUUUACCACACUGUUAACUGUUUUUACCAAGAAUGACACUGUAAAUGGUUUUCUAAAAACAUAAGUUAUUUGUUCAGCUUUUACUUAUGAUGUUUAAUCAAAGUUUCAUUUUAAACUUGUUUAGGAAAGGUUUUCAAACGAUUUUUAAAGAUUUUCAAUUGUAUUUUACAAAGAAAUACCAGGUCGUGAUUUUCUUAAUAUAUAAAGGUUUUCCAAAGUUUUCGUCUAUGUUUUUUUAUACUUCCAGUUGGUUAAGAUACCACUGAGUUAUUUCUGUUUAGUUAACGCCUCCACUUCGUGAUACACUUAUACUUGAGAACGCCUCCACUUCAUGAUACACUUAUACUUGAGAACGCCUCCACUUCGUGAUACACUUAUACUUGAGAACGCCUCCACUUCGUGAUACACUUAUACUUGAGAACGCCUCCACUUCGUGAUACACUUAUACUUGAGAACGCCUCCACUUCGUGAUACACUUAUACUUGAGAACGCCUGCACUUCGUGAUACACUUAUACUUGAGAAUGUCUCCACUUCAUUAUACGCUUAUACCUGCUAACACUUUCACACAGUUAGAAGUAUGCCUGUGCUUGUAUAGAUGCAUAUAAAUAAUGAUUGAAGGACUUAGGAAGGCUUGUUUGCCCUAUUUCCUUUUCUUCGUUGAGAUGUGGUCUGGUGGGAUCGGAUGUCCAUCCGAAGGUCGUUUGAUUCAUUAGUUAUAUAUUAUGUACACAAGCAUAGACAUAUGGGUUUACUUCAGUCAGUUCAGUUAUGAGUCUCUACCUCUAGUUCAGCACUUACAUUAGAAACCCACUAUUUGGAAGUCUCUACCCACUAUUUGGGAUGCAUCUUCAGGACACGGCCUUCUCCGUCGUCUAGUUGGUAACCAGAGUCUCCUGUAGGGAGAGCGGGCAUUGUUUGUAUAGAUCUAUACGGGAUUGACACCCCCGCACCCUGACUGCUAGCUACAGUCCACGGCCUACCAAGCCAAGGGGUGACAAAUGUUAUAUUCUCUAGACGCUUGUAGGGCGUCAGGUACUUUAGUGUCGGUUAGUAUGGUUACGAGUAUCCCAUGUUACCUUAUAAUUCGUGGGCUUAAGGUAAUGGUUUUUCAUCAGUAAUUUACACUGUAUGCUGGAACCCACUCUCAGAGUCACACUGUUUUAGACCUCACUAGACGUAUCAUUCAUUUGAUACUGUCUGGGGUCUGUAUUCCCUGUAUUCACUGUAUUCCCUUUUUUAGACCUUGCUAGACGUAUCAUUCAGUUGAUAUUGUCUGGGGUCUGUGUUCACUGUUUUAGACCUUAUUAGCUGUACCUUUCAUUUGGUACCGUCUGGGGUCUAUGUCUGUUUUGUUAGCCUGAGCCAGGCGUGUUGUUCAUUCGAUACUCUCCUGGAGUCUAUGAUUCUUUUUCCUUAGUCAGCAGUCCUCACUGCUGAGGCAUAUGUUAUUUUCCCUGAUAUUCUCUGACUUUCUUAAAAAAAGCAAAUCCUGUAUUUUGAUAAUGAAAGUGUUUAAGGGAAAACUACUUUUUACCACAUAACUCUGACUAGUCUUGGUAGAAGACUGAUUUUUAAUUAGAAAAUAUAGGAUUUUCUGGAAAGGACUCUAUUUCACUGUAUACUUGAAACCUACCACUUACAUAAAGUUAUUUGAAUAAAAUGUCACUAAAUACUUAUGAACUCACCAGCAUUUGUAAAAAUGCUGAUACUCGCUUUUCAAAUAACUUGUAUUCUCAGGUCAGCAUUAGACAGGUACAAUCCAGGAGCUUCUGUCGAAGACAGUUUAGUACCAAGCUGCAUCUAUAUACUUACUUGUAUUACUUUGAUGUAUUGUAAUGUAAACCAUGUAAACUAUUACUAUUAAUGCAAUGUUUUGUUGUACUUUGAUUACUAUAAUGCAUGUGUUGUGAUACUUGAUAUGACGUCGUCCACCCCAGAACGUUUCCGUCGUUCCGCUUUUGGGGUGUGACAAAGCGGCCGUGUAGAUCGAGGAUUGUGUGAGUUGGGAGUUGGAAAGCUUCGUAACAUUUGGUUC